UUGUUCUAUACGUUGGUAAAGCGCUGGGCCUUAGAGGUUCGAGGUUAAUUAAUGCUUAUAUUUGGAAGUUUAUUGUCCGGGACAUUAGCGUCGUUAAUAAUUUUUUAUCAUUGUUUGAGUGUGACAUAUGCCAUUUCAUGUUAUCAAAUUUGCAUUUCCUGGUGAAGGCUCUUUUUUUUCAUAGAAGGGGCUAAGUUCUUUUUUUGCUACCAUACCCAGAUGUUACAUAGG
rnacentral:misc_RNA from 1 species